rnacentral:rRNA from 1 species
AGAGUUUGAUCCUGGCUCAGGACGAACGCUGGCGGCGUGCUUAACACAUGCAAGUCGAACGAUGAUCCUGGUGCUUGCACUGGGGGAUUAGUGGCGAACGGGUGAGUAACACGUGAGUAACCUGCCCUCUUCUCUGGGAUAAGCGCUGGAAACGGCGUCUAAUACUGGAUAUUCGGGUCCUUUCGCAUGGUGGGAUUCGGAAAGAUUUAUUGGUGGGGGAUGGACUCGCGGCCUAUCAGCUUGUUGGUGGGGUAAUGGCCUACCAAGGCGACGACGGGUAGCCGGCCUGAGAGGGUGACCGGCCACACUGGGACUGAGACACGGCCCAGACUCCUACGGGAGGCAGCAGUGGGGAAUCUUGCACAAUGGGCGAAAGCCUGAUGCAGCGACGCCGCGUGAGGGAUGACGGCCUUCGGGUUGUAAACCUCUUUCAGUAGGGAAGAAGCCUUUCGGGGUGACGGUACCUGCAGAAGAAGCGCCGGCUAACUACGUGCCAGCAGCCGCGGUAAUACGUAGGGCGCAAGCGUUGUCCGGAAUUAUUGGGCGUAAAGAGCUCGUAGGCGGUUUGUCGCGUCUGGUGUGAAAACUCAAGGCUCAACCUUGAGCUUGCAUCGGGUACGGGCAGACUAGAGUGUGGUAGGGGAGACUGGAAUUCCUGGUGUAGCGGUGGAAUGCGCAGAUAUCAGGAGGAACACCGAUGGCGAAGGCAGGUCUCUGGGCCACUACUGACGCUGAGGAGCGAAAGCAUGGGUAGCGAACAGGAUUAGAUACCCUGGUAGUCCAUGCCGUAAACGUUGGGCACUAGGUGUGGGGUCCAUUCCACGGAUUCUGCGCCGCAGCUAACGCAUUAAGUGCCCCGCCUGGGGAGUACGGCCGCAAGGCUAAAACUCAAAGGAAUUGACGGGGGCCCGCACAAGCGGCGGAGCAUGCGGAUUAAUUCGAUGCAACGCGAAGAACCUUACCAAGGCUUGACAUACACCAGAACGCUCUAGAGAUAGAGUGCUCUUUGGACACUGGUGUACAGGUGGUGCAUGGUUGUCGUCAGCUCGUGUCGUGAGAUGUUGGGUUAAGUCCCGCAACGAGCGCAACCCUUGUCCUAUGUUGCCAGCACGUGAUGGUGGGGACUCAUAGGAGACUGCCGGGGUCAACUCGGAGGAAGGUGGGGAUGACGUCAAAUCAUCAUGCCCCUUAUGUCUUGGGCUUCACGCAUGCUACAAUGGCCGGUACAGAGGGCUGCGAUACCGUGAGGUGGAGCGAAUCUCAUAAAGCCGGUCUCAGUUCGGAUUGGGGUCUGCAACUCGACCCCAUGAAGUCGGAGUCGCUAGUAAUCGCAGAUCAGCAACGCUGCGGUGAAUACGUUCUCGGGCCUUGUACACACCGCCCGUCACGUCAUGAAAGUCGGUAACACCCGAAGCCGGUGGCCUAACCCCUUGUGGGGAGGAGCUGUCGAAGGUGGGAUUGGCGAUUGGGACGAAGUCGUAACAAGGUAGCCGUA